rnacentral:rRNA from 1 species
GACGAACGCUGGCGGCGUGCUUAACACAUGCAAGUCGAACGGACCCUUUGGGGUUAGUGGCGAACGGGUGAGUAACACGUGGGUGAUCUGCCCUGCACUUUGGGAUAAGCCUGGGAAACUGGGUCUAAUACCGGAUAGGACUACGCACUGCAUGGUGUGUGGUGGAAAGCUUUUGCGGUGUGGGAUGGGCCCGCGGCCUAUCAGCUUGUUGGUGGGGUGAUGGCCUACCAAGGCGACGACGGGUAGCCGGCCUGAGAGGGUGACCGGCCACACCGGGACUGAGAUACGGCCCAGACUCCUACGGGAGGCAGCAGUGGGGAAUAUUGCACAAUGGGCGCAAGCCUGAUGCAGCGACGCCGCGUGAGGGAUGACGGCCUUCGGGUUGUAAACCUCUUUCGCCAGGGACGAAGCGCAAGUGACGGUACCUGGAGAAGAAGGACCGGCCAACUACGUGCCAGCAGCCGCGGUAAUACGUAGGGUCCGAGCGUUGUCCGGAAUUACUGGGCGUAAAGAGCUCGUAGGUGGUUUGUCGCGUUGUUCGUGAAAACUCACAGCUUAACUGUGGGCGUGCGGGCGAUACGGGCAGACUGGAGUACUGCAGGGGAGACUGGAAUUCCUGGUGUAGCGGUGGAAUGCGCAGAUAUCAGGAGGAACACCGGUGGCGAAGGCGGGUCUCUGGGCAGUAACUGACGCUGAGGAGCGAAAGCGUGGGGAGCGAACAGGAUUAGAUACCCUGGUAGUCCACGCCGUAAACGGUGGGUACUAGGUGUGGGUUUCCUUCCUUGGGAUCCGUGCCGUAGCUAACGCAUUAAGUACCCCGCCUGGGGAGUACGGCCGCAAGGCUAAAACUCAAAGGAAUUGACGGGGGCCCGCACAAGCGGCGGAGCAUGUGGAUUAAUUCGAUGCAACGCGAAGAACCUUACCUGGGUUUGACAUGCACAGGACGCCGGCAGAGAUGUCGGUUCCCUUGUGGCCUGUGUGCAGGUGGUGCAUGGCUGUCGUCAGCUCGUGUCGUGAGAUGUUGGGUUAAGUCCCGCAACGAGCGCAACCCUUGUCUCAUGUUGCCAGCACGUUAUGGUGGGGACUCGUGAGAGACUGCCGGGGUCAACUCGGAGGAAGGUGGGGAUGACGUCAAGUCAUCAUGCCCCUUAUGUCCAGGGCUUCACACAUGCUACAAUGGCCGGUACAAAGGGCUGCGAUGCCGUGAGGUGGAGCGAAUCCUUUCAAAGCCGGUCUCAGUUCGGAUCGGGGUCUGCAACUCGACCCCGUGAAGUCGGAGUCGCUAGUAAUCGCAGAUCAGCAACGCUGCGGUGAAUACGUUCCCGGGCCU